rnacentral:rRNA from 1 species
AGUUUGAUCCUGGCUCAGAGUGAACGCUGGCGGUAGGCCUAACACAUGCAAGUCGAACGGCAGCACAGUAAGAGCUUGCUCUUAUGGGUGGCGAGUGGCGGACGGGUGAGGAAUACAUCGGAAUCUACUCUUUCGUGGGGGAUAACGUAGGGAAACUUACGCUAAUACCGCAUACGACCUACGGGUGAAAGCGGAGGACCUUCGGGCUUCGCGCGGUUGAAUGAGCCGAUGUCGGAUUAGCUAGUUGGCGGGGUAAAGGCCCACCAAGGCGACGAUCCGUAGCUGGUCUGAGAGGAUGAUCAGCCACACUGGAACUGAGACACGGUCCAGACUCCUACGGGAGGCAGCAGUGGGGAAUAUUGGACAAUGGGCGCAAGCCUGAUCCAGCCAUGCCGCGUGGGUGAAGAAGGCCUUCGGGUUGUAAAGCCCUUUUGUUGGGAAAGAAAAGCAGUCGGUUAAUACCCGAUUGUUCUGACGGUACCCAAAGAAUAAGCACCGGCUAACUUCGUGCCAGCAGCCGCGGUAA